AUUGAACGCUGGCGGCAGGCCUAACACAUGCAAGUCGAACGGUAACAGGAAGAAGCUUGCUUCUUUGCUGACGAGUGGCGGACGGGUGAGUAAUGUCUGGGAAACUGCCUGAUGGAGGGGGAUAACUACUGGAAACGGUAGCUAAUACCGCAUAACGUCGCAAGACCAAAGAGGGGGACCUUCGGGCCUCUUGCCAUCGGAUGUGCCCAGAUGGGAAUAGCUAGUAGGUGGGGUAACGGCUCACCCAGGAGACGAUCCCUAGCUGGUCUGAGAGGAUGACCAGCCACACCAGAACUGAGACACGGUCCAGACUCCUACGGGAGGCAGCAGUGGGGAAUAUUGCACAAUGGGCGCAAGCCUGAUGCAGCCAUGCCGCGUGUAUGAAGAAGGCCUUCGGGUUGUAAAGUACUUUCAGCGGGGAGGAAGGGAGUAAAGUUAAUACCUUUGCUCAUUGACGUUACCCGCAGAAGAAGCACCGGCUAACUCCGUG
rnacentral:rRNA from 1 species